GGCUCAGAAUCAACGCUGGCGGCGCGCCUAACACAUGCAAGUCGAACGAGAAAGUGGAGCAAUCCAUGAGUACAGUGGCGUACGGGUGAGUAACACGUGGGUAAUCUACCUCUUAGUGGGGAAUAACUUUGGGAAACCGAAGCUAAUACCGCAUAAGCUCGAGAGAGGAAAGCAGCAAUGCGCUGAGAGAGGAGCCCGCGGCCGAUUAGCUAGUUGGCAGGGUAAAAGCCUACCAAGGCAAAGAUCGGUAGCCGGCCUGAGAGGGCACACGGCCACACUGGCACUGAAACACGGGCCAGACUCCUACGGGAGGCAGCAGUGGGGAAUCUUGCACAAUGGGGGAAACCCUGAUGCAGCGACGCCGCGUGAGCGAUGAAGCCCUUCGGGGUGUAAAGCUCUUUCGGCAGGGAAGAUAGUGACGGUACCUGCAGAAGCAGCUGCGGCUAACUACGUGCCAGCAGCCGCGGUAAUACGUAGGCAGCGAGCGUUGUUCGGAGUUACUGGGCGUAAAGGGUGUGUAGGCGGUUGUUUAAGUUUGGUGUGAAAUCUCCCGGCUCAACUGGGAGGGUGCGCCGAAUACUGAGCGACUAGAGUGCGGGAGAGGAAAGUGGAAUUCCUGGUGUAGCGGUGAAAUGCGUAGAUAUCAGGAGGAACACCGGUGGUGUAGACGGCUUUCUGGACCGUAACUGACGCUGAGACACGAAAGCGUGGGUAGCAAACAGGAUUAGAUACCCUGGUAGUCCACGCCCUAAACGAUGCAUAUUUGGUGUGGGCAGUUCAUUCUGUCCGUGCCGGAGCUAACGCGUUAAAUAUGCCGCCUGGGGAGUACAGUCGCAAGGCUGAAACUUAAAG
rnacentral:rRNA from 1 species